UACAGAGGGUGCAAGCGUUGUUCGGAAUUAUUGGGCGUAAAGGGCGCGUAGGCGGUGCUGUAAGUCUGUGGUGAAAUCUCUGGGCUCAACUCAGAGUCUGCCAUAGAAACUGCAGUGCUAGAGUGUGGGAGAGGUGAGUGGAAUUCCAGGUGUAGCGGUGAAAUGCGUAGAUAUCUGGAAGAACACCGGUGGCGCAAGCGGCUUGCUGGGCUGUAACUGACACUGAGGAACGAAAGCUAGGGGAGCAAAUGGG
rnacentral:rRNA from 1 species